GCAGCACAGCGCCCUGCGGGCUGCCCUCAGGAAGAUCAUCGACAAGGAGAUUAAUCCUUUCGUGGACAAAUGGGAAGAAGAAGGACAGUUCCCAGCACAUAAAGUAUUUAAAAUCCUAGGACAGGCUGGAUUUCUUGGUGUGGAUAAGCCAACAGCUUGCAGCCCACAGAAGCAUGUACAGGACAAGAAGUGAUGAUAUACACAAUAAAACCAGAGAAAGUUG